rnacentral:rRNA from 1 species
UCUGACCUCAAAUCAGGUAGGACUACCCGCUGAACUUAAGCAUAUCAAUAAGCGGAGGAAAAGAAACUAACAAGGAUUCCCCUAGUAACUGCGAGUGAAGCGGGAAAAGCUCAAAUUUGAAAUCUGGCA